rnacentral:lncRNA from 12 species
UUCUUGGGUUUAUCCUGUUUGGAGUUUUCUCUGCUUCUUGAAUCUGUGUGGUUUUCUUUUUAAGAUUUUAUUUAUUCAUUAGAGAGAGAGAGAGAGAGAGAGAGGCAGAGACACAGGCAGAGGGAGAAGCAGGGUCCGUGCAGGGAGCCCGACAUGGGACUUGAUCCCGGGUCUCCAGGAUCAGGCCCUGGGCUGAAGGCGGUGCUAAACCGCUGAGCCACCAGGGCUGCCCUCAUUUUUGUAACCCUUAUAUCUCCUGAUUAGGUAUGAAAAUCUUCCAAUGAGCAUGUACUUGAAUUCUAGUAAAUGGCAUUGCAUUAUUUUGUUGCAUAGCUAAAGCAUAAAGCCUAAUCAGCCUUCUAAACUGAGCUUUUAAGUGUAAGGGGAUUUUUAGUCUCCCCAUAUUUCCCUUUUUUUUUUUUUUUUUCAUUAAAAUCUUAUAUCAGCUUUUGAGGAGCAGUCAAAUCCUGAGAAUCAAUGUAAGGGAAAUAAGACCUGAAAAGGAAAAGACUUAGAAUUAAAUGGUUCAAAAUAGUCUCUCUUUCCUGAGGGCUAAAGUACACUGGUACAUGGGACAGAAUUCAGAACUCUGCGGAAGAGCUGCUGUCCUGAGAGCUGAUGUCACAUCGCUGUGGCAUAGAACAUGGGGCUGGGCAGUGGCUGUGCUUCAAAAGCAAGUUCUUCAACCUUGGAUCUUAAUUCCUUCUGACAAGGGUGCCUAUGACAUGCUUGACCUCAAGAUCCUGAUUGCCAUUGGUGGCAGCUUAUUGAUUGUCACGAUUGUGCUGAUGGCUGUUGUCCUCUGUCUUUACUACAAACUAUUCCGCACAUUAAAGGCUUCCAAGGCGUCUGUUCCCCAGACCACCAGCAGUAAUAAUCAAAUCACAAAGACCCAGGCCACAGUCUCCACUGAGUCCUAUCCCAGCCUCAAGUGCUAUGACCAGUGUAAAGCGUGUAUCAACUACAAUCCCCCGCCACCGUGCUACUAUGAUAUAAACGAGGGACUCUGACUUGGGUGGACACAAAUAUCUUCAUGUGCAGUAUUUCUUUUCCAGUAGAAUUUAUUAUUGAAGUCAGGGUCAAGUAGUGUUUACAUCAUAUUAUGUGCUAUUUAACAUUAUAUUUAUGUACUUCUGAAUAAAUGUGCAAUACUG